rnacentral:snoRNA from 1 species
AUGGCGAUGAUUAUCAAAUUCAAUUGUUCCUACUGAGAGAAAUAUCUGAAUGAGAACAUCUUCGUUUCAAUCCCAUAUGAGCCCA